rnacentral:tRNA from 2 species
GCGGAAGUGGCGAAAUUGGUAGACGCACUAGACUUAGGAUCUAGCGCCGCAAGGCAUGAAGGUUCGAUUCCUUUCUUCCGCACCAU